UCGUAGCAACGGUGCACAAGAGGACAACAAUCCACCUGUUACAUUCCGAUAGAGCUUUUACAGCAGGGAAUAUAAAUAAUGUCCCAAAACCGAGAUCCAUUUUCUUUUCCUAAAUAUGAGAAUGAUCACAAUUUUACAGGAAUCAAACAAUGUCAGAAAGUGCUGUAUAAGAAGCCCACACACAUGGCGCAGAAUGAUGAACCCUGGAGCAGUCUGAAUAGCAGAGCUACGGAAUCCAGCAUGAAGAGAAGUGCUCUUUAUCAGGAUCCAGAGGUACAAAAUGACAGCCUGGACUUCCAUCUUAAUGCUGUCUAUGAUAACCAUCUUGAUUUAUUUCUAAAUAAAAAUGAAAUCUUGUUCCAGAAAGAGACUCUGAUGAGUAACCACAGGGAAAAUGAUGCUUCAAAAUGUGGGACUUACAAGAAGGAAAUUAAAGUGUGGGUGAACCCUCAGAAAACUUCCAUUUACAGCAUUACAGGAGUAAUAGAUGCUUCAGUCACCUGGCUUUAAACAUUACAAAAAAGAGACCUAUGGAGGUCACUCAUGUGUGUCCCGUCAGAGCACAGAUGGUACUGAGGAGGUCACACAGCUACGAAAGCUAAAUGGUUUUCCAAAUGAGAAUCACAGUCAUCAAGAUCUCCAUAAAGAACUCUUGCUUAGCUAUAAGAGAUGGAACUUCAUAAGAACAAGGUCAAGCAAUAGAAGACAGAGGGCAGAGACUGCCAGCUCAUUCAAAAGCCACUGUGUCUCAUACUCACUAUGAAAUAUGAGGGGGAUU